rnacentral:rRNA from 15 species
CAAGGAAUUAAGAGUUUAUGGGGAAUACCUUGGCAUUUAGAAGCGAUGAAGGACGUGGUUACCGGCGAAACGCUUCGGGGAGUUGGAAACAAGCUAUGAUCCGGAGGUCUCCGAAUGAGGAAACUUUUUAUACUACUUAUUGAAUUCAUAGAUAAGCAAGAGCGAACCUAGGGAACUGAAACAUCUUAGUACCUAGAGGAAAAGAAAGUAAAAAACGAUUCCCUUAGUAGCGGCGAGCGAAACGGGAGAAGCCUAAACUUAAUAGUUAAUAUUAAGGGUAGUGGGACAAUUGGUAAUCGAUUAGGACAAUUAGACGAAUAAGUUGGAAUGCUUGACCAAAGAAAGUGAUAGUCUUGUAGUCGAAAAUUGAAAUAAUCAAAUUGAAUCCCAAGUAGCAUGGAGCACGUGAAAUUCCGUGUGAAUCUGCGAGGACCACCUCGUAAGGCUAAAUAUUCCUAAAUGACCGAUAGUGAAACAGUACCGUGAGGGAAAGGUGAAAAGAACCCCGGGAGGGGAGUGAAAAGAACAUGAAACCAUAAACUUACAAUCAGUAGGAGGACGACUAAAACGUCUGACUGCGUGCCUGUUGAAGAAUGAGCCGGCGACUUAUAGGUAGUGGCAGGUUAAAGCAGAGAAUGCUGGAGCCAUAGUGAAAGCGAGCCUGAAUAGGGCAUAUGUCACUGGUUAUAGACCCGAACCCGGAUGAUCUAACCAUGGUCAGGUUGAAGCUUAGGUAACACUAAGUGGAGGACCGAACCGACUGAUGUUGAAAAAUCAGCGGAUGAAAUGUGGUUAGGGGUGAAAUGCCAAUCGAAUUCGGAGCUAGCUGGUUCUCCCCGAAAUGCGUUUUGGCGCAGCGAUAAAUAUUAAAACUUAGGGGUAAAGCACUGUUACGUAUGCGGGCUGGUAAUUCGGUACCAAAUCGUUGCAAACUAAGAAUACUAAGUGUAAAGUUUAUCAGUGAGACUGUGGGGGAUAAGCUCCAUUGUCAAGAGGGAAACAGCCCAGAGCACCAGUUAAGGCCCCUAAAUAAUUACUAAGUGAUAAAGGAGGUGGGAGUGCUAGAACAAUCAGGAGGUUUGCUUAGAAGCAGCAAUCCUUUAAAGAGUGCGUAAUAGCUCACUGAUCGAGUAAACCUGCGCCGAAAAUGUACGGGACUAAGUAAUUUGCCGAAACUGUGCGAUAUAUUGAAAAUAUAUCGGUAGGGGAGCGUUCUGUUGUAGGUUGAAGUAUUAGCGUAAGCGGAUAUGGACGAAGCAGAAGUGAGAAUGUCGGCUUGAGUAACGAAAAUAUAGGUGAGAAUCCUAUACCCCGAAAACCCAAGGUUUCCUCCGGAAGGCUCGUCCGCGGAGGGUAAGUCAGGACCUAAGGCGAGGCUGACAAGCGUAGUCGAUGGACAACGGGUUAAUAUUCCCGUACCAUUAUUUAUUGAUAACGAGGGACGGAGAAGGCUAAGCUGGCCGGAUGUUGGUUACCGGUUUAAACGUUCGAGAUGAUGAGAAACGGAGAAAACGUUUUGAGUUGAGGCGUGAUGACGAAAUGCUACGGCAUUGAAGCAGUCUAUGUCAGACUUCCAAGAAAAGCUCGCACUGUCAUAAAUAAAUAAUGCCUGUACCAUAACCGACACAGGUGGGUAGGUAGAGUAUACUAAGGGGCGCGAGAUAACUCUCUCUAAGGAACUCGGCAAAAUGACUCCGUAACUUCGGGAGAAGGAGUGCCUUAUUUUUAAGGUUGCAAUAACAAGAUCCAAGCAACUGUUUACCAAAAACACAGGUCUCCGCUAAGUCGUAAGACGAUGUAUGGGGGCUGACGCCUGCCCAGUGCCAGAAGGUUAAAGAAGUUGGUUAGCAUUUGCGAAGCUGAUAACUGAAGCCCUGGUGAACGGCGGCCGUAACUAUAACGGUCCUAAGGUAGCGAAAUUCCUUGGCAUUUAAUUGGUGUCCUGCAUGAAUGGCGUAACGACUGUCCCACUGUCUCCAACAUAAACUCAGUGAAAUUGAAUUUUUCGUGAAGAUGCGAAAUUCUUGCGGCUAGACGGAAAGACCCCGUGCACCUUUACG